rnacentral:ribozyme from 1 species
UGUCCAGUAACUCCUAUCCCUACCUCCCCGUGAUGCCACCGGGUAACUAACCCUGGUGGGACCUUGGUCGUAUGCUGACAGGGAAGC